UUCAAUAUGUCCAUAUUACCUACAAAGUUUUGUAGUUUUGAUAUUGGUAUCAACAUUUCAGCAGACACUAACACACGAAGAAUUCUACAACUUGUACUUUAGUUAGAUAAAAAAAAAAUCUUUUAAAUAACACAUAAUUAUAAACUAAACAAUCAGUUGAAAUAGUUUUGAGUGAGACAAUUUAUCCAUUAAUAAAAAUACUUCAUCAAACAAAUACAUUCACAUAAUCAUAUUUAGCAUUGUUCAAACUCACCAAAAUAAAGUCUAGUCAGUUUAAGAUUAGAUUCUGAGUUUACUUUGUAACAGAAAUAGACUAGAUCAAAUCCAGCACAUUUAGCUUAUUUUCCCAUUAAUUCUAGAAGCAUGUAAAAUAUCAUGCAUAAUUUGAGCUUAAUAUAGUCAACAUAAAAAAAAA